CUCCCCUGAGCCGGUCCGUGGCAGUAGUCAUCAGUCUGAUUUUAGGGGGAAGGUCCAGAAACAUGGAGUCAAGCAAUAAUGGACUGAAGCAUCAGAACUACUAUGACAAUAAUCAAGGCUUUGCUCUGCUCUGUGUCAGCUGAAAGUGUGGCAUGUAGCCCAGGUUAUCAAAAAUCCACUCUGAAGCUAAGACUGGCCCUAAAUUCCUGAUAUUACUACUUCCACUACCCAACCUAUGGAAUCACAGGC